AAGCUAUCACUGAAGGAGGGGAUUGCGUCUGAUUAGCUAGUUGGAGGGGUAACGGCCCACCAAGGCGAUGAUCAGUAGCCGGUCUGAGAGGAUGAACGGCCACAUUGGGACUGAGACACGGCCCAGACUCCUACGGGAGGCAGCAUG
rnacentral:rRNA from 1 species